AUGUACUCCUGGGACUACGACAGGACUGGAAGGGAAGCGAUGCGCAGUCCAGUGCAAACCGGUUAUCGAAGCAAGGCUUUGGCAUCACAGAAAGGCGUGGCUUACAAGACGGCUUCCAGAUCGGCCCCUCCUGGGCCCGUCACUUGCUUUGAGGAGUUUCAGCUCCCAAGUUUGGGAAAUGGAGCUGCUAAACCUCCGCCACUUGACACAGCACCGUCUUUUCGCCAGCCAGUCUGUUCGUGCGUGCCUAGGUCCUUGCGUGCGUGCGUGCGUGCGUCAGUGCGUCCGUCCUCGCAUUUGUGCGUGCGUGCGUCCGUGCGUGCGUCCGUCCGUGCGUGCGUCCAGGCAUCUGCCAUCACCACGACCCCCUGUACCCCUGCUUCUGGGUCAUUUGGGUGUCUGUCGUGCUCUGAACUCAGACCCACGGAAUUCCAGCCCUGUAAAGUAAUUUGGAACACGCCCAGGAUUUACGGUGGCCUGUCCUCAGUCCCUCAGAAGCCACUGACUGUGGCUGUGGGAUCAGCAUACGCACUGUCUUCUCUUCAUGACGUGGAGCAGCCAGUAUCCCAAGCCUCAUCUGUGCCCUGAUAAACACAGCCAGCUGCGGACCUGAGUGGGGACCCAUGGGCAUCACCUGGGAACUCGCCAGAAGUGCUCAUUCAGGACUCCCUCUCAGAGUUCCAGUCAGAAGCCUGGGGUCUUCUGGUGUGGGCCAGGAUUUGGAGCUGAAACUGUGGGAGAGAUGUGUGGCUGGGGGCCACUGUGCUGGGGCGAGGGCCAGAAGAUGUGGGACAGAGCAGCGGGUAGGUAUGUGCAGUUUGAAAAAGCCCCUGGGGUGAUUCUAACCUCUCCCCCCACCAACCUUAUCUAUCUGAGAACUGGAACCGAAUUCCGCAACAGUCCACAACAGUCUCCUAAUUUUGAUGAUUUUUGUCAGCUUUCAAAAUUGUGUAGCACCACUGGAGAGACCGGGGUUUGGCCUGGGACUCUCCCUCCUAGUUGUCUAGUCUGAAGACAUGCUGUGGAAGGGGGCUUGAGCCAGGAAAUCUGGAACAUGAGGGAUGGGGAGCUGCUUUGCUGAUGGUCAAGC
rnacentral:lncRNA from 1 species